GGUGGGGUGGAAACGGAUGGAGCCGACGAACCGGGCCGUGCGGGCAACUGUGCGGGUUCGGUGCGCUGAGGACCGCGAUUGCUUGGCGCGAUGUGGGGGCUAAGAUUAAUCACUCCUGCCUAGCGCUGUGGCGGUUGCGGAAUAGAAGACUGGGUCCGUGCUGAUGGUUGGUUCAGUUGCACUGGUUGGGGAACGCUUGCGUUAAUCUGCCAGUGUAGCGGUUCAGACUGUGUGGCCUGCCCGGUCGAACUCGGUGUGCGAGUCGGUCACCCAUCCGACCCGUCUUGAAACACGGACCAAGGAGUUUAGCGCAUGCGCGAGUCAGUGGGUGGAAAACCCAGAGGCGCAACGAAAGUGAGUGGAGUGCGACCCGAGUGGACUUCGGUUCAGUUGGAGCAGCACAGCCCUGCUUGUCCAAUUUGGGCAGGUGGAGGCGGAGCGCAUGCGAUGAGACCCGAAAGAUGGUGAACUAUUCCUGAGCAGGCCGAAGGGGAGGGAAACUUUCCUGGAGGGCCGAAGCGGUUCUGACGUGCAAUUCGAUCGUCUGACUUGGGUAUAGGGGCGAAAGACUAAUCGAACCAUCUAGUAGCUGGUUCC
rnacentral:rRNA from 2 species